AAGGAAGAGUGGCCAGGAACUGGGUUUGGAGUAGUUGGGGUUGUUUGAGUCAUCCUGGAAGAGUAGCCUAGGAUGUACCAUAACUGGAUUCAGUUGGAUGGGCAGGAAGGGACGGGCUCCCAUGGUCCCUCAUGGGUACAAAAAUGUGCCAGUAUUUUCUCUCUCUCUCUCUCUCUCUCUCUCUCUGUGUGUGUGUGUGUGUGUGUGUAUGUGCCCCCCCUCUGUGUGUGUGUGUGUGUGUGUGUGUGCGUGUGCAUGCAUGUUACAUGUAUCAGAGGACAAACCACAGGAAUUGGUUCUCCUCCUUCACUGUAUGGAUCAUAGAUCUGAACACAAGUUACCAGCUUUGCAGCAAGUGCCUUUACCUGCCACACCAUCUCACUGGCUUCCUCCCUCUCUCAUACCAUCUUUUAUUAAAAACCAUUUACUUAUUUAGGGGUGAGAGGAGGUUGUGCACAGCACAGUGUGUUUGGAAAUUAGAGACGACUUGUGGAAAUCAGCUCUCUUCGUCCACCAUGUGGAGUCAUCAGGUUUGAUGGCAAAACUUUUAUUUCCCCUCUGAACCUUCUCACAUGUCUGUUAAGAUCUUUCCUUUGAGAGUGAGCUUGAACGUCUGCCCAGUGUCCACCACCUGAGAGCUGGGCUUAUAGAUAGAUGCAUACUAUCACCUCCAUUGUAUGUGGUCCUGGGGGUAGCAAUCAGGACUUCCUGCAUACUAUGCAGUCACUCUACCAGCUGAGACACACAUUCAGCUUAGGGGCUUUUUCAAGACCACCCUAAUACCCAACUACAGCAGGGACAACAGGGUCCCCCUGUACAACCCUCCAUGUUUCCUCUAUACCUAUUGCUACUUGCUGUCCAUACACAGACCAUUCAUAUUCCUCACUAUCACUAGAUAGACAAUGACCACUUGAUUCUCCUUGAUACCCAGCCCCCCAGACUCCUUACAAGAUGUUUGCUGGGUAAAUUCUGCCUCCCUGCUACCCCACAGUCCUCUGUGCUCUCAUCUAGGAAACUACAGCCUGCAGGAAUGCUACUUCUUCUUUGUACCCUAUAAGACACCACACACAUACACAUGCACACACACACAAGGCAAAUAUACAUAACUAUCCAAAAGUCAGUGCAGCUAGGUGGCUGCUUGGGACAUUCCCUUCAUCUCUUGAGAAUUCUAGAUUGAGGAGAUGGGAGCCCGAGGAAGAGCAUACUUGUAGAAAGGAACAUCCAAAGACUGGGAGGCAGAAAGGACCUGGAGAAAUAGCAGUGGUGCCAGGAAGUCACAGGGAGAAUGUUCGGGGACUCUGCCUCAUUCUGAGGCACUGGCAGUGGAUGUGUGCACUCUUUCCCACAUGGAUAGAAGCUCUACCACAGGUACAUUACUGUCACCCAGGCCCUAAGCAGCCACACUGAGUCUCGCUGCAACACUUGGAUAUCACGCAGGACCCGUGGAUGCAGGAGUUCAGGCCUUAUGCCCACUAACUCUUUUACACUGUUCCAGCUGAGAUGCUGGGUUACUAAAUACCAGUCUAGGCUUCUGGCCCGCAGCAGAAGGCACUGAACCAAUGAGCCUGAGACCUGCGGCCACAUCCGGGGAUAGGGAAGAUUUCUACAGUGAAGCAAGCCACAAAGCAAAGGUCCAGAAAUGAGACCCAGAGUGGUCACAUCAGAGCAACAGCAGGAUGUCCAGUUGGCCGGACCUAAAGAGCACUAGAGGUCAGGACCAUCUUUCAUGCUGAGUUCGGGGAAUCGUCUCUUUCCAGCACCCAGGAGGUACUGGCACAGAGAAGAGU
rnacentral:lncRNA from 1 species